rnacentral:misc_RNA from 1 species
CCAUCCCUCAAGCUCCGCUUGGCUGGUUGGGCCGGCGUCCACCGGUAGACACCGGUGGACGGGCCUGAAAGGCAGUGGCGGCUCCCGGGGACUCUGGUCCCGGGGGCGGUGAUGCAUGGGUCUCUUCAUCCACCGUCCCACGGGCCACGCCCCCGGAGUCGGUCGAACGGUCGGUCUUCCCCUGUA